CGCAACGCGAAGAACCUUACCAAGGCUUGACAUAUACAGGAAUAUGGCAGAGAUGUCAUAGCCGCAAGGUCUGUAUACAGGUGGUGCAUGGUUGUCGUCAGCUCGUGUCGUGAGAUGUUGGGUUAAGUCCCGCAACGAGCGCAACCCUCGUUCUGUGUUGCCAGCAUUUAGUUGGGGACUCACAGGAGACUGCCGGGGUUAACUCGGAGGAAGGUGGGGAUGACGUCAAAUCAUCAUGCCCCUUAUGUCUUGGGCUGCACGCAUGCUACAAUGGCUGGUACAAACGGCUGCAAUACCGCAAGGUGGAGCGAAUCCGAUAAAGCCAGUCUCAGUUCGGAUUGGGGUCUGCAACUCGACCCCAUGAAGUCGGAGUUGCUAGUAAUCGUAGAUCAGC
rnacentral:rRNA from 1 species